rnacentral:snRNA from 1 species
UUGCUCACUUUGGUAGCACAUAUACUAAAAUUGAAAUGAUACAGAGAAGAUUAGCAUGGCCUCUGUGCAAGGAUGACAUGCAACAAAUUUGUUGAAGAAUUUCAUUUUUUA